UACGUAGGGUCCGAGCGUUGUCCGGAAUUAUUGGGCGUAAAGGGCUCGUAGGCGGUUCGUCACGUCGGGAGUGGAAACUCGGGGCUUAACCCCGAGCCUGCUUCCGAUACGGUCCGAUAGAGGUAGGCGGGGGAGAGCGGAACUCCUGGUGUAGCGGUGGAAUGCGCAGAUAUCAGGAAGAACACCGGUGGCGAAGGCGGCUCUGGUCGGCUACCUGACGCUGAGGACGAAAGCGUGGGGAGCGAACAGG
rnacentral:rRNA from 1 species